rnacentral:rRNA from 1 species
UUGAACGCUGGCGGCAUGCUUUACACAUGCAAGUCGAACGGUAACAGGCCUUCGGGUGCUGACGAGUGGCGAACGGGUGAGUAAUGCAUCGGAACGUGCCCAAUCGUGGGGGAUAACGUAGCGAAAGUUACGCUAAUACCGCAUACGCCCUGAGGGGGAAAGCAGGGGAUCUUCGGACCUUGUGCGAAUGGAGCGGCUGAUGUCGGAUUAGCUAGUUGGUGGGGUAAAGGCUCACCAAGGCGACGAUCCGUAGCGGGUCUGAGAGGAUGAUCCGCCACACUGGGACUGAGACACGGCCCAGACUCCUACGGGAGGCAGCAGUGGGGAAUUUUGGACAAUGGGCGAAAGCCUGAUCCAGCCAUGCCGCGUGAGUGAAGAAGGCCUUCGGGUUGUAAAGCUCUUUCAGCCGGAAAGAAAUCGCGCAGGCUAAUACUCUGCGUGGAUGACGGUACCGGAAGAAGAAGCACCGGCUAACUACGU